rnacentral:rRNA from 1 species
GUACGGGGGGUGCAAGCGUUGUUCGGAAUUAGUUGGGCGUAAAGCGCGUGUAGGCGGUUUGUUAAGUCUGAUGUGAAAGCCCUGGGCUCAACCCAGGAAGUGCAUUGGAAACUGGCAGACUUGAAUACGGGAGAGGGUAGUGGAAUUCCUGGUGUAGGAGUGAAAUCCGUAGAUAUCAGGAGGAACACCGGUGGCGAAGGCGGCUACCUGGACCGAUAUUGACGCUGAGACGCGAAAGCGUGGGUAGC